CAAAUGCUUUAACAUCGACAUUCUUCAUUUAACACCUAAAGCAUCACAAUUAACCAUUAAACUCAAAUUAACACAAAAUCACCACUACUCUACACAACUUUUACAAUAAAAAAUGACUAAACUAAUAAUAAACAACGGCACAAACACGACAAAACAAAUCCCCCCACACUAAGCAUUUGCUUGUCCUCAAGCAAAAAUCUAGUUCAACGUAGUAGAGUUUGAACUUAAGAGACUUCAUUUCCGGUUAACUCAACAUAGACAUCAUAUCCUCUUCAGAACCAUGGUCAACCAUUUCCCAACAUCAAUGAAAAUCACAAUUAACCCGAAGCAUGGUACUCGUCUAUGUGAUAAUCAAUCGGAUCAGACCCAGCCCCCCAUAAGAAGUGAGUUACCUAAUGCAGCUGCUUUUAUCAACAAGUCUCUUUACAUUUAUUCAACAAUAACGAAAAACUAAAUGAGG
rnacentral:lncRNA from 1 species